GUGGACGCCAGUCUGCGUGGAGCCGACCUUGAAAUACCACCCUUUAAUGUUUGAUGUUCUAACGUGGACCCGUGAUCCGGGUUGCGGACAGUGUCUGGUGGGUAGUUUGACUGGGGCGGUCUCCUCCUAAAGAGUAACGGAGGAGCACGAAGGUUGGCUAAUCCUGGUCGGACAUCAGGAGGUUAGUGCAAUGGCAUAAGCCAGCUUGACUGCGAGCGUGACGGCGCGAGCAGGUGCGAAAGCAGGUCAUAGUGAUCCGGUGGUUCUGAAUGGAAGGGCCAUCGCUCAACGGAUAAAAGGUACUCCGGGGAUAACAGGCUGAUACCGCCCAAGAGUUCAUAUCGACGGCGGUGUUUGGCACCUCGAUGUCGGCUCAUCACAUCCUGGGGCUGAAGUAGGUCCCAAGGGUAUGGCUGUUCGCCAUUUAAAGUGGUACGCGAGCUGGGUUUAGAACGUCGUGAGACAGUUCGGUCCCUAUCUGCCGUGGGCGCUGGAGAACUGAGGGGGGCUGCUCCUAGUACGAGAGGACCGGAGUGGACGCAUCACUGGUGUUCGGGUUGUCAUGCCAAUGGCACUGCCCGGUAGCUAAAUGCGGAAGAGAUAAGUGCUGAAAGCAUCUAAGCACGAAACUUGCCCCGA
rnacentral:rRNA from 23 species